GGAGAGGUGUCCGAGUGGCUUAAGGAGCACGCUUGGAAAGCGUGUGUACGGCUAGAAGCUGUACCGUGGGUUCGAAUCCCACCCUCUCCGCCA
rnacentral:tRNA from 1 species